UACGGAGGGUGCAAGCGUUAAUCGGAAUUACUGGGCGUAAAGCGCGCGUAGGCGGUUUGAUAAGCGGAGUGUGAAAUCCCCGGGCUUAACCUGGGAACUGCAUUCCGAACUGUCAAGCUAGAGUAUGGUAGAGGGUGGCGGAAUUCCGAGUGUAGCGGUGAAAUGCGUAGAUAUUCGGAGGAACACCAGUGGCGAAGGCGGCCACCUGGACUAAUACUGACGCUGAGGUGCGAAAGCGUGGGGAGCAAACAGG
rnacentral:rRNA from 1 species